rnacentral:rRNA from 1 species
AUUGAACGCUGGCGGCAGGCCUAACACAUGCAAGUCGAGCGGAUGAAGGGGGCUUGCUCCUGGAUUCAGCGGCGGACGGGUGAGUAAUGCCUAGGAAUCUGCCUGGUAGUGGGGGAUAACGUCCGGAAAAGGGCGCUAAUACCGCAUACGUCCUGAGGGGGAAAGGGGGGGAUCUUCGGACCUCACGCUAUCAGAUGAGCCUAGGUCGGAUUAGCUAGUUGGUGGGGUAAAGGCCUACCAAGGCGACGAUCCGUAACUGGUCUGAGAGGAUGAUCAGUCACACUGGAACUGAGACACGGUCCAGACUCCUACGGGAGGCAGCAGUGGGGAAUAUUGGACAAUGGGCGAAAGCCUGAUCCAGCCAUGUCGCGUGUGUGAAGAAGGUCUUCGGAUUGUAAAGCACUUUAAGUUGGGAGGAAGGGCAGUAAGUUAAUACCUUGCUGUUUUGACGUUACCAACAGAAUAAGCACCGGCUAACUUCGUG